rnacentral:rRNA from 1 species
GAUGAACGCUGGCGGCGUGCCUAAUACAUGCAAGUCGAGCGAACAGACGAGGAGCUUGCUCCUCUGACGUUAGCGGCGGACGGGUGAGUAACACGUGGAUAACCUACCUAUAAGACUGGGAUAACUUCGGGAAACCGGAGCUAAUACCGGAUAAUAUAUUGAACCGCAUGGUUCAAUAGUGAAAGACGGUUUUGCUGUCACUUAUAGAUGGAUCCGCGCCGCAUUAGCUAGUUGGUAAGGUAACGGCUUACCAAGGCGACGAUGCGUAGCCGACCUGAGAGGGUGAUCGGCCACACUGGAACUGAGACACGGUCCAGACUCCUACGGGAGGCAGCAGUAGGGAAUCUUCCGCAAUGGGCGAAAGCCUGACGGAGCAACGCCGCGUGAGUGAUGAAGGUCUUCGGAUCGUAAAACUCUGUUAUUAGGGAAGAACAAAUGUGCAAGUAACUAUGCACGUCUUGACGGUACCUAAUCAGAAAGCCACGGCUAACUACGUG